rnacentral:rRNA from 1 species
UACGUAGGGUGCAAGCGUUGUCCGGAAUUAUUGGGCGUAAAGAGCUCGUAGGCGGUUUGUCGCGUCUGCUGUGAAAACCCGAGGCUCAACCUCGGGCCUGCAGUGGGUACGGGCAGACUAGAGUGCGGUAGGGGAGAUUGGAAUUCCUGGUGUAGCGGUGGAAUGCGCAGAUAUCAGGAGGAACACCAAUGGCGAAGGCAGAUCUCUGGGCCGUAACUGACGCUGAGGAGCGAAAGCAUGGGGAGCGAACAAG